rnacentral:rRNA from 1 species
AUGGUCCCCCAGGAACUUAAAAUUAACAGCUAUAACCCCGUGGGAGAAUAUGAGCCUGUUGCUGUUUGCAUAGGAAGAACGUACUCCAAGAUUGACACUCUUACAACAGGGAGUCAGUACAGGGAAAGCUUGCAGCAGCUGGACAGAUACAAAUGGUGCUGCGUGCAGCAGCUCAUCAGGCGACACAGCCGCCUCUUGGAGCCUGCCAAGACUCUGGUGCUACUGCACGGAUGCUUCACCAGCAUGAAGCAACUCCUGCCUAAAAUUCGGGGAUCCUACUCACAAGGCACCUUAAGGGCUGACGGAGCUCAAUCCGACGACGAGGUGGCGGAGAUGAUGCUGCUAGACGGCUGCUUCAUCCUACACCGACUGCUCAAGUACGCGCGACGCGCGGAAAUGGAAGAAGCUGGUGGCGUUGGCGAUCAGAUUGUCGACGACGACGACGACUGGACUCAGGUGUACGGCAGGUGCUUUGUGUGGCAGUUGGUGACGCGGGACCUGCUGCUGCUGGAGAACCAGAUCCCUUUCUUCGUCAUCCAAGAGCUUUUCCAGCAGCUGAGGAACGAGGGCAAAUCCGAAAAUCUCCUCGUUACCGGCAGCCUCAGGCUUUUCCGCUCCCUUCGUCCCCAGAUGCUGCACCAGUCGCCCAUCGCAUGCCGCAGCGUGCACCACCUGCUGCAUCUCUUCUACCUCUCCGUCAGCUUCCCACCGAACCACGACCGGCAGCAUUCCCGCCGCCGCCGAACCGAUGAGUUUCUGCAGUGGAUCCCGUGCGCCAACGAGCUGGAGGAGGGGGUCCAGUUCCGCAAGAGGGAGAAUGCCACGAGCUUCCUAGACGUGAGCUUCGCCCAGGGCGUGCUGGAGAUCCCACAGUUGGAGCUCAACGACUCCAGCGAGUCGCUGUUCCGGAACCUGAUCGCAUUCGAGCAGACCUACCCGGACACCCCGUGUGACGUCUCCACCUAUGCCGUCUUCAUGGACUGCCUCAUCACCUCGGCGGAGGACAUGAGGAUCCUGGACCUGCAUGGCGUCCUCGUCAGCCAUCUCAGCAGCAGCAGCAGGCGGGUUGCAUGGAAUUUCUUCAGUGACAUUGUCGGGAAGGUGCACUGGUCGGUUGACGACAACUACCUGGUCGGCCUGAUGAACGAGGUGAACAGGUACAGGGAGCGCAGGCGGCACAAGUGGCGCGCGGCGCUUGACCGCAACUACUUCAGCAACCCAUGGGUGACCAUGUCAGUGUUGGCGGCCCUACUCCUGCUCUCCAUGGCCGUGCUGCAGACCUUCUUCGCUGUCUAUGCCUACUUCAAGCCUCCCAAGUAA